rnacentral:rRNA from 1 species
UGACGCUGGCGGCUGCUUACCCCUGCAGUCUAACGGCAGCACGGGAGCAAUCCUGGUGGCGAGUGGCGAACGGGUGAGUAAUAUAUCGGAACGUGCCCAGUCGUGGGGGAUAACGCAGCGAAAGCUGUGCUAAUACCGCAUACGAUCUACGGAUGAAAGCGGGGGAUCGCAAGACCUCGCGCGAUUGGAGCGGCCGAUAUCAGAUUAGCUAGUUGGUGGGGUAAAGUGCCCACCAAGGCGACGAUCUGUAGCUGGUCUGAGAGGACGACCAGCCACACUGGAACUGAGACACGGUCCAGACUCCUACGGGAGGCAGCAGUGGGGAAUUUUGGACAAUGGGCGCAAGCCUGAUCCAGCAAUGCCGCGUGCAGGAUGAAGGCCUUCGGGUUGUAAACUGCUUUUGUACGGAACGAAACGGUGAGCUCUAAUAAAGUUUGCUAAUGACGGUACCGUAAGAAUAAGCACCGGCUAACUACGUGCCAGCAGCCGCGGUAAUACGUAGGGUGCGAGCGUUAAUCGGAAUUACUGGGCGUAAAGCGUGCGCAGGCGGUUAUGUAAGACAGAUGUGAAAUCCCCGGGCUCAACCUGGGACCUGCAUUUGUGACUGCAUAG